GUGCCCGACAAGGAUUGACCUUGCUCCUACGUAUUCUCAAUAUGAGAAAUCAGGGUUACGUAGUUCUUNUAGAAAGAUUGUUUGUUUGUUUGAAAAUAUUUAUUUUUUGGUGUUUGAUAUAUAUAAAAAAAGGAAAAGGUUCUUAGCACGAGGACGAUGCGUGCGAUCACACACGAGCUUAAACAUUCAAAACAAAUUUUAUUUUAUUUUAUAAAAAGGGAAAAUGGUCUUAGCACGAGGACGAUGCGUGCGAUCACAC
rnacentral:lncRNA from 1 species